rnacentral:lncRNA from 1 species
UUUCCCCUAACCCCCAGGUUUGCAAGUCUGAGGUAGUGCGAGAAGUCGGCAAGGGUUAAUGUUAUAUUUAUGUAAUAGAUUAGCAUGUUAGUGUGGACAUGUAAUGUAAAUUGAUAUAAUGUAUUGUAAGAUAAUGAAAUGUGAUGUAAUGUAACGUAAAGUAGAGUUAUGUCUAUGGAUUAGUAUUGUGCUUGGCCCUAAGGUCUGGUUAAUCCCUUUUUGUACAUGAUGUAUGUUAUGUUUUUAUUGUUGAGAUGUGAACCAGGCUUGAUGUAUGUAAUGUUGACCCAGCUAGAGCAUUUGAUGAGGGCUCUAGCAUGGGGGUUUUUAUGUUGACAGUUAUGUAGCAUACGAAUCAAGCUUGGUAUAUGAAAGGUUUUAAAGUUUUUAUGUUUAUGUUUGAUCAUGUAUGGGAUUUUACCAGGUAAUAGGAUGUAUGUUAGGCUUGCUAC